GACGAACGCUGGCGGCGUGCUUAACACAUGCAAGUCGAACGGAAAGGCCCUGCUUUUGUGGGGUGCUCGAGUGGCGAACGGGUGAGUAACACGUGAGUAACCUGCCCUUUACUUUGGGAUAACUUCAGGAAACUGGGGCUAAUACCGGCUAGGAGCUCCUGCUGCAUGGUGGGGGUUGGAACGUUUCGGCGGUUGGGGAUGGACUCGCGGCUUAUCAGCUUGUUGGUGGGGUAGUGGCUUACCAAGGCUUUGACGGGUAGCCGGCCUGAGAGGGUGACCGGGCACAUGGGGACUGAGAUACGGCCCAGACUCCUACGGGAGACAGCAGUGGGGAAUAUUGCACAAUGGGCGGAAGCCUGAUGCAGAGGCGCCGCGAGCGGGAUGAAGGCCUUCGGGUUGUAAACCGCUUUCGGCUGUGACGAAGCGUGAGUGACGGUAAUGGGUAAAGAAGCACCGGCUAACUACGUG
rnacentral:rRNA from 1 species